UCGAGAAUUUUUCACAAUGGGCGAAAGCCUGAUGGAGCGACGCCGCGUGGGGGAUGAAUGGCUUCGGCCCGUAAACCCCUGUCAUUCGGGAUCAAUGCGUUUGACCUAACACGUCAGACGUUGAUAGUACCGGAAGAGGAAGGGACGGCUAACUCUGUGCCAGCAGCCGCGGUAAUACAGAGGUCCCAAGCGUUGUUCGGAUUUACUGGGCGUAAAGGGUGCGUAGGCGGUCGGAUAAGUUUGAUGUGAAAGCUCGGAGCCUAACUCCGAAACGGCAUUGAAUACUAUCUGGCUAGAGGUUGGGAUGGGGGACUGGAAUUCUCGGUGUAGCAGUGAAAUGCGUAGAUAUCGAGAGGAACACCAGUGGCGAAGGCGAGUCCCUGGACCAAUCCUGACGCUGAGGCACGAAAGCCAGGGGAGCAAACGGG
rnacentral:rRNA from 1 species